rnacentral:rRNA from 1 species
GAUGAACGCUGGCGGCGUGCUUAACACAUGCAAGUCGAACGGAAAGGCUCCUGCUUGCAGGGGUACUCGAGUGGCGAACGGGUGAGUAACACGUGGGUGAUCUGCCCUGCACUUCGGGAUAAGCCUGGGAAACUGGGUCUAAUACCGGAUAGGACGAUGGUUUGGAUGCCAUUGUGGAAAGUUUUUCGGUGUGGGAUGAGCUCGCGGCCUAUCGGCUUGUUGGUGGGGUAAUGGCCUACCAAGGCGUCGACGGGUAGCCGGCCUGAGAGGGUGUACGGCCACAUUGGGACUGAGAUACGGCCCAGACUCCUACGGGAGGCAGCAGUGGGGAAUAUUGCACAAUGGGCGCAAGCCUGAUGCAGCGACGCCGCGUGGGGGAUGGCGGCCUUCGGGUUGUAAACUCCUUUCGCUAGGGACGAAGCGCAAGUGACGGUACCUGGAGAAGAAGCACCGGCUAACUACGUG